rnacentral:rRNA from 1 species
UACAGAGGUGGCAAGCGUUGUUCGGAAUUACUGGGCGUAAAGGGCGCGUAGGCGGCCUUCUAAGUCAGACGUGAAAUCCCCAGGCUUAACUUGGGAACUGCGUCUGAUACUGGGAGGCUUGAGUGCGGGAGAGGGAUGUGGAAUUCCAGGUGUAGCGGUGAAAUGCGUAGAUAUCUGGAGGAACACCGGUGGCGAAGGCGGCAUCCUGGACCGACACUGACGCUGAUGCGCGAAAGCCAGGGGAGCGAACGGG